GCUAGUGUGGUGUAGUGGUUUGAAUAUGGUGGACUACAAAUCUGGAGACCAGGGUUCAAUUCCCAGCUUGACCA